rnacentral:tRNA from 2 species
GCCGAUGUAGCUCAGUUGGUAGAGCAACUGAUUCGUAAUCAGUAGGUCGCGAGUUCGAUUCUCGCCAUUGGCU